rnacentral:rRNA from 1 species
CCUACGGGUGGCAGCAGUGAGGAAUAUUGGUCAAUGGGCGCGAGCCUGAACCAGCCAAGUCGCGUGAGGGAAGACGGUCCUAUGGAUUGUAAACCUCUUUUGUCGGGGAGCAAAAGACGCCACGCGUGGCGUUCCGAGAGUACCCGAAGAAAAAGCAUCGGCUAACUCCGUGCCAGCAGCCGCGGUAAUACGGAGGAUGCGAGCGUUAUCCGGAUUUAUUGGGUUUAAAGGGUGCGCAGGCGGAAGAUCAAGUCAGCGGUAAAAUUGAGAGGCUCAACCUCUUCGAGCCGUUGAAACUGGUUGUCUUGAGUGAGUGUGAAGUAGGCGGAAUGCGGGGUGUAGCGGUGAAAUGCAUAGAUAUCACGCAGAACUCCGAUUGCGAAGGCAGCAUACCGGCGCUCAACUGACGCUCAUGCACGAAAGUGUGGGUAUCGAACAGGAUUAGAUACCCGGGUAGUC